rnacentral:rRNA from 1 species
AUUGAACGCUAGCGGGAGGCCUUACACAUGCAAGUCGAACGAGUGGCGGACGGGUGAGUAAUAUAUCGGAACGUGCCCAGUAGCGGGGGAUAACUACUCGAAAGAGUGGCUAAUACCGCAUACCAUCGGAUCUGCCGAUAUGGGAUUAGCUAGUUGGUGGGGUAAAGGCUCACCAAGGCCACGAUCCGUAGCUGGUUUGAGAGGAUGACCAGCCACACUGGAACUGAGACACGGCCCAGACUCCUACGGGAGGCAGCAGUGGGGAAUGUUGGACAAUGGGGGAAACCCUGAUCCAGCCAUCCCGCGUGUAUGAGAAGGCCUUCGGGUUGUAAAGUACUUUUGGCAGGGAAGCGGUAUCUGCAGAAUAAGCACCGGCUAACUACGUGCCAGCCGCCGCGGUAAUUC